AUCACGUCCCUUAUGGGACGUCUGUCUCUCCGCGUGCGCCAUGUCAUAUCAGAGGAUGAAGCUCGUCUUAUGCCACCGUUCUCCUCCUCCUCCUCCUCCCAAUCGUUCAAUUCAGUGGUCGAGGUGUUGACACGGCGAGCUUAUUGGUCGCAUCAUCCAGAGAUUUUGAUUGUGGUGCAACAGAUAUCUGAUCUAUCGCGCCGCCAGGAAGCGGGUCACGCCCCCGUGCACUGAAGUGUCCUCCCUUCAUGUCCAAUCUUCUUCUUCUUCCUCCUCUUCUGCCUCGUACCUGACUAUUCUGUACAGACUGUACAAUCUUCUUCUGAGGUCCUAGUGUUCCUCCCCUGGUUUGCCCAAGGGAGAUGUUCCGUCGACAACCAUCUCAGCUGCCGUUACCACUUUCUAGCGAGAGACUUGUGGGUCUAAAUAUUUGUU
rnacentral:lncRNA from 1 species